AGGCUCGUCGUCCAGUGGGUCAGGACACGGCUUUCCAAAAGCCGAGACGCAGGUUCGAGCCCUGCCGAGCCUG
rnacentral:tRNA from 1 species